UACGGAGGAUGCGAGCGUUAUCCGGAUUUAUUGGGUUUAAAGGGUGCGUAGGGGGAUGCCAAGUCAGCGGUAAAAAUGCGGUGCUCAACGCCGUCGAGCCGUUGAAACUGGCGUUCUUGAGUGGGCGAGAAGUAUGCGGAAUGCGUGGUGUAGCGGUGAAAUGCAUAGAUAUCACGCAGAACUCCGAUUGCGAAGGCAGCAUACCGGCGCCCUACUGACGCUGAGGCACGAAAGCGUGGGUAUCGAACAGG
rnacentral:rRNA from 1 species